rnacentral:rRNA from 1 species
UACGUAGGGUGCAAGCGUUGUCCGGAAUUAUUGGGCGUAAAGAGCUCGUAGGCGGUUUGUCGCGUCGGCUGUGAAAACUCGGGGCUCAACCCCGAGCCUGCAGUCGAUACGGGCAGACUAGAGUGCGGUAGGGGAGACUGGAAUUCCUGGUGUAGCGGUGAAAUGCGCAGAUAUCAGGAGGAACACCGGUGGCGAAGGCGGGUCUCUGGGCCGCUACUGACGCUGAGGAGCGAAAGCGUGGGGAGCGAACAGG